GAUGAACGCUGGCGGCGUGCUUAACACAUGCAAGUCGAACGAAGCACUUUAUUUGAUUUCCUUCGGGACUGAUUAUUUUGUGACUGAGUGGCGGACGGGUGAGUAACGCGUGGGUAACCUGCCUUGUACAGGGGGAUAACAGUUGGAAACGGCUGCUAAUACCGCAUAAGCGCACAGCAUCGCAUGAUGCAGUGUGAAAAACUCCGGUGGUAUAAGAUGGACCCGCGUUGGAUUAGCUAGUUGGUGAGGUAACGGCCCACCAAGGCGACGAUCCAUAGCCGACCUGAGAGGGUGACCGGCCACAUUGGGACUGAGACACGGCCCAACCUCCUACGGGAGGCAGCAGUGGGGAAUAUUGCACAAUGGGCGAAAGCCUGAUGCAGCGACGCCGCGUGAGCGAAGAAGUAUUUCGGUAUGUAAAGCUCUAUCAGCAGGGAAGAUAAUGACGGUACCUGACUAAGAAGCACCGGCUAAAUACGUG
rnacentral:rRNA from 1 species